rnacentral:rRNA from 1 species
GAUUGAACGCUGGCGGCAGGCCUAACACAUGCAAGUCGAGCGGAUGAAGAGAGCUUGCUCUCUGAUUCAGCGGCGGACGGGUGAGUAAUGCCUAGGAAUCUGCCUGAUAGUGGGGGACAACGUUUCGAAAGGAACGCUAAUACCGCAUACGUCCUACGGGAGAAAGUGGGGGAUCUUCGGACCUCACGCUAUCAGAUGAGCCUAGGUCGGAUUAGCUAGUUGGUGGGGUAAUGGCCCACCAAGGCGACGAUCCGUAACUGGUCUGAGAGGAUGAUCAGUCACACUGGAACUGAGACACGGUCCAGACUCCUACGGGAGGCAGCAGUGGGGAAUAUUGGACAAUGGGCGAAAGCCUGAUCCAGCCAUGCCGCGUGUGUGAAGAAGGUCUUCGGAUUGUAAAGCACUUUAAGUUGGGAGGAAGGGCAGUAAAUUAAUACUUUGCUGUUUUGACGUUACCGACAGAAUAAGCACCGGCUAACUCUGU